rnacentral:tRNA from 1 species
GGAGAUGUGGCAGAGCUGGUUGAAUGCGCGCGACUCGAAAUCGCGUAUACGGGCAACCGUAUCGGGGGUUCGAACCCCUCCAUCUCCGCCA